AAAGUUUCAACAACGGAUCUCUUGGCUCUCGCAUCGAUGAAGAACGCAGCGAAAUGCGAUAAGUAAUGUGAAUUGCAGAAUUCAGUGAAUCAUCGAAUCUUUGAACGCAUCUUGCACUCCUUGGUAUUCCUUGGAGCAUGCCUGUUUGAGUAUCAUG
rnacentral:rRNA from 1 species